UACGGAAGGGGCGAGCGUUGUUCGGAAUCAUUGGGCGUAAAGGGCGCGUAGGUGGUCUUGUGUGUCUACCGUGAAAGCACACGGCUCAACCGUGUUUGGUCGGUAGAAACUGCAGGACUUGAGGCUGGGAGGGGCUGGUGGAAUUCCCCGUGUAGCGGUGAAAUGCGUAGAGAUGGGGGAGAACACUCGUGGCGAAGGCGGCCAGCUAGACCAGUUCUGACACUGAGGCGCGAUAGCGUGGGGAG
rnacentral:rRNA from 1 species